rnacentral:rRNA from 1 species
GGAGUAACGCGUAUGCAACUGCCUAUCAGGAGGGAGAACCGGCGAAAGUCGGACUAAUACCGCAUGAAGCAGGGCCCGCAUGGGAUAUUUGCUAAAGAUUCAUCGCUGAUAGAUAGGCAUGCGUUCCAUUAGGCAGUUGGCGGGGUAACGGCCCACCAAACCGACGAUGGAUAGGGGUUCUGAGAGGAAGGUCCCCCACAUUGGUACUGAGACACGGACCAA